rnacentral:rRNA from 1 species
UGAGGAAUAUUGGUCAAUGGGCGCAAGCCUGAACCAGCCAUCCCGCGUGAAGGAAGAAGGCGCUAUGCGUUGUAAACUUCAUUUCCAGGGGGAGAAUUUUUCCGUCGUGACGGGAAUUGACGGUACUCUGGGAAUAAGCAUCGGCUAACUCCGUGCCAGCAGCCGCGGUGAUACGGAGGAUGUGAGCGUUAUCCGGAUUUAUUGGGUUUAAAGGGUGCGUAGGCGGAUUGAUAAGUCAGUGGUGAAAGGCUGCAGCUUAACUGUAGACUUGCCGUUGAUACUGUCAGUCUUGAGUAUGGUCAAGGCAGGCGGAAUGUGUAAUGUAGCGGUGAAAUGCUUAGAUAUUACACAGAACACCGAUUGCGAAGGCAGCUUGCUGAGCCAUCACUGACGCUCAUGCACGAAAGCGUGGGGAUCGAACAG